rnacentral:rRNA from 1 species
UACCAGCACCCCGAGUGGUCGGGGCGAUUAUUGGGCCUAAAGCAUCCGUAGCCGGUUUUACAAGUCCUCCGUUAAAUCCAACUGCUUAACAGAUGGGCCGCGGAGUAUACUAUAAGACUAGGAGGCAGGAGAGGCAAGCGGUACUCAGUGGGUAGGGGUAAAAUCCGUUGAUCCAUUGAAGACCACCAGUGGCGAAGGCGGCUUGCCAGAAUGCGCUCGACGGUGAGGGGUGAAAGCUGGGGGAGCAAACCGG